rnacentral:rRNA from 1 species
GACGGUCUUGCUGUCACUUAUAGAUGGAUCCGCGCUGCAUUAGCUAGUUGGUAAGGUAACGGCUUACCAAGGCAACGAUGCAUAGCCGACCUGAGAGGGUGAUCGGCCACACUGGAACUGAGACACGGUCCAGACUCCUACGGGAGGCAGCAGUAGGGAAUCUUCCGCAAUGGGCGAAAGCCUGACGGAGCAACGCCGCGUGAGUGAUGAAGGUCUUCGGAUCGUAAAACUCUGUUAUUAGGGAAGAACAUAUGUGUAAGUAACUGUGCACAUCUUGACGGUACCUAAUCAGAAAGCCACGGCUAACUACGUGCCAGCAGCCGCGGUAAUACGUAGGUGGCAAGCGUUAUCCGGAAUUAUUGGGCGUAAAGCGCGCGUAGGCGGUUUUUUAAGUCUGAUGUGAAAGCCCACGGCUCAACCGUGGAGGGUCAUUGGAAACUGGAAAACUUGAGUGCAGAAGAGGAAAGUGGAAUUCCAUGUGUAGCGGUGAAAUGCGCAGAGAUAUGGAGGAACACCAGUGGCGAAGGCGACUUUCUGGUCUGUAACUGACGCUG